AAGUCGUAACAAGGUUUCCGUAGGUGAACCGUGACUGCUUGGGGAGACAUUGCCUAUAGAACUACCGCUCGAUUGUAACUGUUCCAAUGUUCGCACGUAGCCAGAGGUCUCUGAAUCACUACAACUUUCCGGGCUAUGAUUUAUCAGAGAUUGCGAACUACGCGGGUUACAAGAGCAGGAUGAAGGUUCACGGGGGGGGUUUUAACGUUUGGAUACGUGUUAAUGAUCCUUCCGCAUCGAUUGUGCAAGGAUAGCGCUUCUACGAUUCCUGUAGACCGUACACUCGGGCAGGAGCUUUGCCAAAGGGUCCCCAUGCCCCCUAAUAACCCCACAGUUUAAUGUGAAGCUCAAUGUAAUACAUUGGGUAAAAAAACCGAACAACUGUUAACAAUGGAUAUCUUGGUUCUC
rnacentral:misc_RNA from 1 species